CUCAGGACCCUGGGAUCAUGACCUGAGCUGAAGGCAGACGCUUAACCUACUGAGCUACCCAGAGGUUGCAAGGAGGCACUGACAACGUGGCUUCCCAUUCCGGUCCCUGCUCUACCCUCUACAGAUCCCUUUCUCUCUCCAGGCAGCAGACACUACCACCACAGCUGCCGUCACCACCACCAACCUGGGCCCAGGUCCCGGCCCAGCCACCUCUUGGAUGCCUUGGACUGUCACAGAUUGGAGUAUUUGCGAAAUGGCGUAUUAUCAUCUUUCUACCGAUGAAGAAACUAGGUGCCAGAGAGAACUUGCCUAUGUCCAUGAUACAAAUGGAUGAUACAGUCCAGAUUCAGACCUAAAGCCUGGACUCUGCUACCAUACUGUACAAAUUCUUCUUCAUACAACAUCAGAGAGCUCAAUAAACCAUCCUCUAUACUGCAUCAUAACUUUGUACUGAAUAUCUGAUCCUUUUUUUCCUGGGAUAACAUCUUUCCCCAGGGGAACUAUCUCUUCUAUACUUGGUGGUAUUGUCAACCACAUGCCUUAAUUACCCAGUAAAUGCGAGGUACAUGAACAGCCUUGGCCAAUCAGAGUAUCUCACCUUUCAAAACACAAUGAUGGGCCUGGUGAUGGACUCUUGACCCAGACAAGGUCAUUUUGAGUCCACUUUGGAGGGACACAUGCUAUGCUGGGAAAGUGGGUCUCUCCUUCUGAGGUUAUAGUCAUCAUGUAAGUUAAUUUAAACCAUUUUUUCUAUCCAAGUGGAGCAAGAAGCCAACAUAGAAUAAAGCUGAGUUGGGAGACACUCUGAUGAUGUCAUUUAAGCCCCUGGAUCCAGCCAUUCCUGAAGCUUAGAGUGAUCCAAUAAAUUCUUCUUUUUCCCUA